ACAUGUCCGCAUGAUUAAAGGUAUUUUCCGGUAGACGAUGGGGAUGCGUUCCAUUAGAUAGUAGGCGGGGUAACGGCCCACCUAGUCAACGAUGGAUAGGGGUUCUGAGAGGAAGGUCCCCCACAUUGGAACUGAGACACGGUCCGAACUCCUACGGGAGGCAGCAGUGAGGAAUAUUGGUCAAUGGGCGAUGGCCUGAACCAGCCAAGUAGCGUGAAGGAUGACUGCCCUAUGGGUUGUAAACUUCUUUUAUAAAGGAAUAAAGUCGGGUAUGCAUACCCGUUUGCAUGUACUUUAUGAAUAAGGAUCGGCUAACUCCGUGCCAGCAGCCGCGGUAAUACGGAGGAUCCGAGCGUUAUCCGGAUUUAUUGGGUUUAAAGGGAGCGUAGAUGGAUGUUUAAGUCAGUUGUGAAAGUUUGCGGCUCAACCGUAAAAUUGCAGUUGAUACUGGAUGUCUUGAGUGCAGUUGAGGCAGGCGGAAUUCGUGGUGUAGCGGUGAAAUGCUUAGAUAUCACGAAGAACCCCGAUUGCGAAGGCAGCCUGCUAAGCUGCAACUGACAUUGAGGCUCGAAAGUGUGGGUAUCAAACAGGAUUAGAUACCCUGGUAGUCCACACGGUAAACGAUGAAUACUCGCUGUUUGCGAUAUACGGCAAGCGGCC
rnacentral:rRNA from 1 species